GACGAACGCUGGCGGCGUGCUUAACACAUGCAAGUCGAACGGAAAGGCCCUGCUUUUGUGGGGUGCUCGAGUGGCGAACGGGUGAGUAACACGUGAGUAACCUGCCCUUGACUUUGGGAUAACUUCAGGAAACUGGGGCUAAUACCGGAUAGGAGCUCCUGCUGCAUGGUGGGGGUUGGAAAGUUUCGGCGGUUGGGGAUGGACUCGCGGCUUAUCAGCUUGUUGGUGGGGUAGUGGCUUACCAAGGCUUUGACGGGUAGCCGGCCUGAGAGGGUGACCGGCAACAUUGGGACAUAGAGACGGCCGAGUCUCCUACGGGAGGCAGCAGUGGGGAAUAUUGCAAAAUGGGCGGAAGCCUGAUGCAGCAACGCCGCGUGCGGGAUGACGGCCUUCGGGUUGUAAACCGCUUUCGCCUGUGACGAAGCGUGAGUGACGGUAAUGGGUAAAGAAGCACCGGCUAACUACG
rnacentral:rRNA from 1 species